rnacentral:rRNA from 1 species
GGCCUACGGGGGGCAGCAGUGAGGAAUAUUGGUCAAUGGCCGAGAGGCUGAACCAGCCAAGUCGCGUGAGGGAUGACGGCCCUACGGGUUGUAAACCCCUUUUGUAGAGAACGAAAAGACACCUUUUAAUAAAGGGUGUUGCUGACGGUACUCUAAGAAUAAGCACCGGCUAACUACGUGCCAGCAGCCGCGGUAAUACGUAGGGUGCGAGCGUUAAUCGGAAUUACUGGGCGUAAAGGGUGCGCAGGCGGUUGAGUAAGACAGAUGUGAAAUCCCCGAGCUUAACUCGGGAAUGGCAUAUGUGA